rnacentral:pre_miRNA from 1 species
CUCAAUAAAUGUUGGUUGAAUUAAGCUGCGUUAAAUUCAAUGGGUAUUUACUGAGCC